rnacentral:misc_RNA from 1 species
GAUGAAGAACGUAGCGAAAUGCGAUAAGUAAUGUGAAUUGCAGAAUUCAGUGAAUCAUCGAAUCUUUGAACGCACCUUGCGCCCUUUGGCCAUUCCGAAGGGCAUGCCUGUUUGAGUAUCAUGAACACCUCAACUCUUCAUGGAUUUCCAUGAUGAGCUUGGACUUUGGGGGUCUUGCUGGCCUGUGGUCGGCUCCUCUCAAAUGGAUUAGCUUGCCAGUGUUUGGUGGCAUCACAGGUGUGAUAACUAUCUACGCUUGUGGUUUUCCACCAGGUAACCUUCAGCAAUGGGGGUUCGCUGGGGCUCAUAAAUGUCUCUCCUCAGUGAGGACAGCUCUUUGAACGUUUGAUCUCAAAUCAGGUAGGACUACCCGCUGAACUUAAGCAUAUCAAUAAGCGGAGGA